rnacentral:rRNA from 1 species
AUGUCAAACGCCGAAUGGAGGGUGGAAGUACAGCGACGGGAUGCCGUUACCGCCGACCGGCGGAAUAGGGCCCUCGCGAAGAAGGCCCGAGACAACGCGGCGUGCGCGGCUGCGGCUGCAGCUGCGGGUGCCGCUGCCGCUGACCAGGCCGAGGCCGAGGCGACCCGGGCGGGGAUGAUGAAUCCACCCGGCAACCACGCGCAGUACGCGCCCUGGGGCCAACAAGGCGUCGGGUCUCCGACGCCGCAGCCAUGGGGGUCGCCGGGCUACGCCGACGGGGACGCGCACGGUGGGUUCAACCCAAACGUCACUUUCCCCCAUGGCCACCCCGCCCAGCGCACGCCCUCGCCCGCCUUCACCGGCGUGCAGUACCCUCCAUACAACUACUCGCCGCCUGCGUACGCGUCCUCUCUGACGCCCCCUCUCCACUGGUGCGCGCUGCCCUUCUCUCACCUCGGCGACGCCGACGAGACUGAGGCCAACAUGGACGACAUCAUCACGGAAGGGUCGGCCGCGGCCGCCGCGUCUCCCGGGUUCACCGCGGACGAGACGGUGGAUCUCAGCGGUGGCAUGGACGGCGAGCUCGGCUACGUCUACGGCGACGAGGAGCAGGAGGAGCAGGACGAGGAGGACGAGGAGGACGAGGAGGAGGAGGAGCCGGCGAGGGGGCGCAAGAAGAAGAAGGUGGCGGCCAGGCCAGAGCCACGCGUCAAGUGGGCGUCCAAAGAGGAGGAAUGCCUCGCCGAAGCAUGGAAAGUCGUCUGCCUCGACCCGACCACCGGCGCGAACCAGAGCAUCGAGACGUACUGGGCGCGCAUCAAGGUCGAGUUCGACGAGGCAAGCUCGUCGACCCCUACUUCAAAGGCGUCUGCAUGCAACGCGGGUCGAAUGCGAUGGCGAACCAUUGGGGGCGUAUGCAGGGGGCGUGCAACAAAUGGCAUGGGGUCGUCGAGGAGGUCGCCGGUCGUCCGGAGAGCGGCGCCAGCAUUGAGGAUCAGGUAUGCCAUGCCGGUUUCCCGCCUCUUUUCGCCGUGCACCCGCCAACUGUUUGUUUGUCCCUGCGCAGUUGCUGCGUAUGUUCGGCCUGUACAGGCAGGGCAACAACGACACCGAGUUCAAGUACCUUCAUGUCUACAAGCGCAUUGA